GUGCAGCAGGCGCGAAACCUUAGCACUGUGCGAAAGCACGACUAGGUUAAUCCGAGUGAUUUCUGUUGAAGAAAUCUUUUGUCAGUCGUAAAACCACAGACGAAUAAGGGGUGGGCAAGUCUGGUGUCAGCCGCCGCGGUAAUACCAGCACCUCGAGUGGUCAGGAGGUUUAUUGGGCCUAAAGCAUCCGUAGCCGGCUUUGCAAGUCUCCGGUUAAAUCCAGCUGCUCAACAGAUGGGCUGCCGGAGAUACUACAAAGCUAGGGAGCGGGAGAGGUAGACGGUAUUCGGUGGGUAGGGGUAAAAUCCACUGAUCCAUCGAGGACCACCAGUGGCGAAGGCGGUCUACCAGAACGCGUUCGACGGUGAGGGAUGAAAGCUGGGGGAGCAAACCGGAUUAGAUACCCGGGUAGUCCCAGCUGUAAACGAUGCAAACUCGGUGAUGCAUUGGCUUAUGGCCAAUGCAGUGCCGCAGGGAAGCCGUUAAGUUUGCCGCCUGGGAAGUACGGACGCAAGUCUGAAACUUAAAGGAAUUGGCGGGGGAGCAC
rnacentral:rRNA from 1 species